rnacentral:rRNA from 1 species
AAAGAACCUGAAACCGUGUACGUACAAGCAGUGGGAGCACAGGUUUACCUGUGUGACUGCGUACCUUUUGUAUAAUGGGUCAGCGACUUAUAUUCUGUAGCAAGGUUAACCGAAUAGGGGAGCCGGAGGGAAACCGAGUCUUAAUUGGGCGUUAAGUUGCAGGGUAUAGACCCGAAACCCGGUGAUCUAGCCAUGGGCAGGUUGAAGGUUGGGUAACACUAACUGGAGGACCGAACCGACUAAUGUUGAAAAAUUAGCGGAUGACCUGUGGCUGGGGGUGAAAGGCCAAUCAAACCGGGAGAUAGCUGGUUCUCCCCGAAAGCUAUUUAGGUAGCGCCUCGUGAAUUCAUCUCCGGGGGUAGAGCACUGUUUCGGCUAGGGGGCCAUCCCGGCUUACCAACCCGAUGCAAACUGCGAAUACCGGAGAAUGUUAUCACGGGAGACACACGGCGGGUGCUAACGUCCGUCGUGAAGAGGGAAACAACCCAGACCGCCAGCUAAGGUCCCAAAGUCAUGGUUAAGUGGGAAACGAUGUGGGAAGGCCCAGACAGCCAGGAUGUUGGCUUAGAAGCAGCCAUCAUUUAAAGAAAGCGUAAUAGCUCACUGGUCGAGUCGGCCUGCGCGGAAGAUGUAACGGGGCUAAACCAUGCACCGAAGCUGCGGCAGCGAACGUAUCACUUAAAGCGAUUCAGCGGGUUACGAUUGACG